rnacentral:rRNA from 1 species
CCUGGCGGCCGUAGCGCGGUGGUCCCACCUGACCCCAUGCCGAACUCAGAAGUGAAACGCCGUAGCGCCGAUGGUAGUGUGGGGUCUGUAGCGC